rnacentral:misc_RNA from 1 species
GGAAGUGAAAGUCGUAACAAGGUUUCCGUAGGUGAACCUGCGGACGGAUCAUUACAGUGUUUUCUGUGCCCUGAAUAAGGGUCAGAACUCCCACCCUUGAGUACUAUAGUUUGUUGCUUUGGCGGGCCGCGAGGCCUAGCCACGCCCCGGCUUCGGCGGGGGAGUGCCCGCCAGAGGACCCCAAACCCUGAAUGUUAGUGUCGUCUGAGUACUAUAUAAUAGUUAAAACUUUCAACAACGGAUCUCUUGGUUCUG